CCUACGGGAGGCUGCAGUGGGGAAUAUUGGACAAUGGGCGAAAGCCUGAUCCAGCCAUGCCGCGUGUGUGAAGAAGGCCUUCGGGUUGUAAAGCACUUUCAGUGGGGAAGAAAGCCUUGGGGCUAAUACCCUCGAGGAAGGACAUCACCCACAGAAGAAGCACCGGCUAACUCCGUGCCAGCAGCCGCGGUAAUACGGAGGGUGCGAGCGUUAAUCGGAAUUACUGGGCGUAAAGCGCGCGUAGGCGGUCUGAUAAGCCGGUUGUGAAAGCCCCGGACUCAACCUGGGAACGGCAUCCGGAACUGUCAGGCUAGAGUGCAGGAGAGGAAGGUAGAAUUCCCGGUGUAGCGGUGAAAUGCGUAGAGAUCGGGAGGAAUACCAGUGGCGAAGGCGGCCUUCUGGACUGACACUGACGCUGAGGUGCGAAAGCGUGGGUAGCAAACAGGAUUAGAUACCCGAGUAGUC
rnacentral:rRNA from 1 species